GAUGAAGAACGCAGCGAAAUGCGAUAAGUAAUGUGAAUUGGAGAAUUCAGUGAAUCAUCGAAUCUUUGAACGCACAUUGCGCCCCCUGGUAUUCCGGGGGGCAUGCCUGUUCGAGCGUCAUUUCACCACUCAAGCCUCGCUUGGUAUUGGGCAACGCGGUCCGCCGCGUGCCUCAAAUCGACCGGCUGGGUCUUCUGUCCCCUAAGCGUUGUGGAAACUAUUCGCUAAAGGGUGUUCGGGAGGCUACGCCGUAAAACAACCCCAUUUCUAAGGUUGACCUCGGAUCAGGUAGGGAUACCCGCUGAACUUAAGCAUAUCAAUAAGCGGAGGA
rnacentral:misc_RNA from 1 species